UACGUAGGGUGCAAGCGUUGUCCGGAAUUAUUGGGCGUAAAGAGCUCGUAGGCGGUCUGUCGCGUCGGACGUGAAAACCCAGGGCUCAACCCUGGGCCUGCGUUCGAUACGGGCAGACUAGAGUUCGGUAGGGGAGACUGGAAUUCCUGGUGUAGCGGUGAAAUGCGCAGAUAUCAGGAGGAACACCGGUGGCGAAGGCGGGUCUCUGGGCCGAUACUGACGCUGUAGAGCGAAAGCGUGGGGAGCGAACAGG
rnacentral:rRNA from 1 species